ACACCCUAGUACGGCGACGAGCGGGAGAGCUCAAAUUUAUAAUCUGGCACCUUCGGUGUCCGAGUUGUAAUCUCUAGAAAUGUUUUCCGCGUUGGACCGCACACAAGUCUGUUGGAAUACAGCGGCAUAGUGGUGAGACCCCCGUAUAUGGUGCGGACGCCCAGCGCUUUGUGAUACAUUUUCGAAGAGUCGAGUUGUUUGGGAAUGCAGCUCAAAUUGGGUGGUAAAUUCCAUCUAAAGCUAAAUAUUGGCGAGAGACCGAUAGCGAACAAGUACCGUGAGGGAAAGAUGAAAAGCACUUUGGAAAGAGAGUUAACAGUACGUGAAAUUGUUGGAAGGGAAACGCUUGAAGUCAGACUUGCUUGCCGAGCAAUCGGUUUGCAGGCCAGCAUCAGUUUUCCGGGAUGGAUAAUGGUAAAGAGAAGGUAGCAGUUUCGGCUGUGUUAUAGCUCUCUACUGGAUACAUCCUGGGGGACUGAGGAACGCAGUGUGCCUUUGGCGGGGGUUUCGACCUCUUCACACUUAGGAUGCUGGUGGAAUGGCUUUAAACGACCCGUCUUGAACCACGGACCCACGACCCGUCUUGAAACACGGACCAA
rnacentral:rRNA from 1 species